GAGGGUAUAGCUCAGUGGUAGAUUGCACACUUAGCAUGUAUGAGGUACUGGGUUCAAUCCCCAGUACCUCCU
rnacentral:tRNA from 1 species